UAGCUCAGUUCGGUAGUGCGUCUGCCUUGUAAGCGCUAGGCCGCGGGUUCGAUUCCCGC
rnacentral:tRNA from 1 species